GUAUUUGUUUUGUAUAUAUACUAAAAUUGGAAUGAUGCAGAGAAAAUUAGCAUGAUUCCUAUGCAAGGAUGACAUUCAAAAUUGUCAAGUGUUUCAUAUUCUU